GGCCGCGUGGCGCCCGCGCCGGCCUUCCUGCAGGGGACUCCACCGGAGCCUUGCCAAUUCCGUUUGUUUCCCUGUUGUCGCCCGCUUCACCCUGGAUCAUGUUCAAGAAGUUUGAUGAAAAGGAAAGUGUGUCCAACUGCAUCCAGUUGAAAACGUCAGUUAUUAAGGGCAUUAAGAGCCAACUGGUAGAGCAAUUUCCAGGGCCCCCCACAAAAGCAGCCUCGGGGACUCCGGCCUUUCCUUGAGACCUGCAUCUCUUCCCUUCUUCAUCGCCUGCUAGUGAACUGAGGCUGCCGCUAACCUUCUUCAUCCUUUGGUGGCAAAGUAGAAAGAUUCCAGAAUUAACUCGACCUUUCUAAAGACCUGGGCUCAGAGGCAGCUGGCACUGACUGAGCACCCACUAUGUGCCAGGCACUGUGCUGAAUGCAUUGUAAGGACUGUCUUACUUAUUCCCCCACAGCAGCCCUAAGAAGGGGUGCUGUUAUCCCCUUUUUACAGAUAAGAAAACUGAAGCUCAGAGAGGGCACUGCCUUCCCCAAGGUCACCCAGCUACAAGUAACAAAGCCUGUGCUUCUAACACCAAAGACCACUUCCCGCUGACACUGUGCCAGGCUUGUAAGUCUCUCUCUGGGCCUCCAUUCCCUCCUGUAGGAAAUUGGAGGGGUUGGGGUGGCUCCAGUGAGCUCUCCCCUUCUGAAACUCAUACUAAUCUGGGGCAGCCAAGGCUUAGCCCCGCCAGCCUGUGAACCUCUCACAGUGCCCACAGCCAUGCCCUCCUCCGUCCAGGGGCUGACAGGUGGGAGGGGUAGCCCUGCCUCAGGGAGUGGACUUACCUGGCCUCUCUGCUCAGAGAUC
rnacentral:lncRNA from 1 species